UGAGGGCCCCUCUGCGUGUUCACAGCGGACCUUGAUUUAAUGUCUAUACAAUUAAGGCACGCGGUGAAUGCCAAGAGAGGCGCCUCC
ensembl:miRNA microRNA 124-3